rnacentral:rRNA from 1 species
AGUGAACGCUGGCGGUAGGCCUAACACAUGCAAGUCGAACGGCAGCACAGUAAGAGCUUGCUCUUACGGGUGGCGAGUGGCGGACGGGUGAGGAAUACAUCGGAAUCUACUUUUUCGUGGGGGAUAACGUAGGGAAACUUACGCUAAUACCGCAUACGACCUACGGGUGAAAGCAGGGGAUCUUCGGACCUUGUGCGAUUGAAUGAGCCGAUGUCGGAUUAGCUAGUUGGCGGGGUAAAGGCCCACCAAGGCGACGAUCCGUAGCUGGUCUGAGAGGAUGAUCAGCCACACUGGAACUGAGACACGGUCCAGACUCCUACGGGAGGCAGCAGUGGGGAAUAUUGGACAAUGGGCGCAAGCCUGGUCCAGCCAUACCGCGUGGGUGAAAGAGGCCUUCGGGUUGUAAAGCCCUUUUGUUGGGAAAGAAAAGCAGCAGGUUAAUACCCCGCUGUUCUGACGGUACCCAAAGAAUAAGCACCGGCUAACUUCGUG